rfam:Clostridium spiroforme DSM 1552 Scfld_02_5 genomic scaffold, whole genome shotgun sequence.
UUGGGAGAAGUCCUAGACACUUUGAAGGUUGCUUCAGGAGCAGCCUAUCCUUUAAAAGAGUGCGUACAGCUUCACUGAGUCGAAUGACUUCUGCGCCGAUAGUUACCCGGGCUAGGUAUAUACCGGAAGCUAAGGAUUUGCGGAUGAGCAAGUGGUAGGGAGCGUUAUAUGAGCGAAGAGCAGUACCGGAAGGAGCUGUGGAGCAUAUAGAAGAGAGAAUGCCGGUGUGAGUAGCGGAACGUGGGUGAGAAUCCCACGCACCGAAAACCCAAGGUUUCCAGAGGAAGGGUUCGUCCGCUCUGGGUAAGUCGGGACCUAAGGCGAGGCCGAGAGGCGUAGUCGAUGGACAACAGGUAGAGAUUCCUGUACUUACGGUAUGAAUGAAGGAGUGACGGAGAAGGCUAGGUGAUCCUGCGGCUGGAAGAGCAGGUGCAAGCGAGGUAGCAGAUAUCCAGGCAAAUCCGGAUGUCGAGAAAGCGAAGGCGUGAAGCGGAUGGAAAGCCAAGGCAAGUACAGAAGUCAUUGAAGCCAGCUUCCAAGAAAAGCUUCUAGUGAAAAUCAUACAGUAACCCGUACCGAAAAUGGACACACAUGGGUGAGGAGAGAAUCCUAAGGUGAGCGAGAGAACUAUAGCUAAGGAACUCUGCAAAAUGACUCCGUAACUUAGGGAGAAGGAGUGCUCAUAGAGAUAUGAGCCGCAGUGAAACGGCCCAAGCGACUGUUUACCAAAAACACAGCUCUAUGCUAAGUCGAAAGACGACGUAUAUGGGGUGACGCCUGCCCGGUGCUGGAAGGUUAAGAGGAUGUGUCAGCGCAAGCGAAGCACUGAAUUGAAGCCCCAGUAAACGGCGGCCGUAACUAUAACGGUCCUAAGGUAGCGAAAUUCCUUGUCAGGUAAGUUCUGACCCGCACGAAAGGCGUAACGAUUUGGGCGCUGUCUCAGCUGUAGACUCGGUGAAGUCUUAGUACCUGUGAAGAUGCAGGUUACCCGCGACUAGACGGAAAGACCCCAUGGAGCUUUACUGUAGCUUGAUAUUGGACUUUGAUGCAGGAUGUACAGGAUAGGUAGGAGACUGAGAGACAUGCACGCCAGUGUGUGAGGAGUCGCUGUUGGGAUACUACUCUUCCUGUAUUGGAGUUCUAACCGGAUGCCAUAAGCUGGCAACGGGACAGUGUCAGGUGGGCAGUUUGACUGGGGCGGUCGCCUCCCAAAGAGUAACGGAGGCGCCCAAAGAUACCCUCAGCUUGGAUGGAAAUCAAGCGCAGAGUGCAAAGGCAAAAGGGUGUUUGACUGCGAGACCAACAAGUCGAGCAGGGACGAAAGUCGGGCUUAGUGAUCCGGCGGUGCUGAAUGGAAAGGCCGUCGCUCAACGGAUAAAAGCUACCCUGGGGAUAACAGGCUGAUCUCCCCCAAGAGUUCACAUCGACGGGGAGGUUUGGCACCUCGAUGUCGGCUCAUCGCAUCCUGGAGCUGAAGUCGGUUCCAAGGGUUGGGCUGUUCGCCCAUUAAAGCGGUACGCGAGCUGGGUUCAGAACGUCGUGAGACAGUUCGGUCCCUAUCUGUCGUGGGCGUAGGAAGUUUGAGAAGAUCUGUCCUCAGUACGAGAGGACCGGGAUGGACAUAUCAAUGGUGCACCAGUUGUCACGCCAGUGGCACAGCUGGGUAGCUAAAUAUGGAAGGGAUAAACGCUGAAGGCAUCUAAGUGUGAAACCCACUUCAAGAUGAGACUUCCCAUUACGCAAGUAGGUAAGACCCCUUAAAGACGAUAAGGUUGAUAGGUCAGGAGUGUAAGCAUGGUGACAUGUUCAGCGGACUGAUACUAAUAGGUCGAGGACUUAACCUA